GUCCGCUAGAGGCGCGUAACGCUUUUGUAGUAGCGCGCGCGCUCUAUAAUCCUCUCAUGUGACGUCGGUGAAAUGGCGGAGCGGGCUGGAAGGGACGUCUGUCAGAGCUCCAGCCAAGGCUCUGACUACCUUUCUAGAACAGAUGACAAGUCGUCAUGGAGUCGACCGGACUCAUCAGCCUCUGGACAGUACACGUACACCAUUCCCAGCCCUACAGAGAUACACAUCGUUACCAGACCAGAGCCUCUCAUGCUGAAGAAUGACGAAAGGCAGAGACUCGCCCGUGAACGAAGGGAGGAGCUAGAGAAGCAGAAUGUGGCACUACAACAAAACCAGGCAAAGUAUGCACAUUUGGUAUGUUUUUGAAGGCUAUUUUGUUUUUAAUCACUUGUGUUUAAUCGCUCUCUCAGAGAAUGAUGGGAAAUGUAUUUUGGUCAUGCGAGACCUAAUGAUGGGUCUAUAUGAGAAGUUCUUUUGUAGCUAUUCUUCACCCACAAAAUCUUAAAAACUAAACAAUCACAGCUGAAACAUCACAUUGACAGCUUGAUAUUUAGUUCUUAUAAAUAACAAGAAUUAGCUUUUGUUACAUAUUUAAUUGAUACAUUUCCAGGCACGAGUGAAAUGGCAUUCACGCAUGUCAUACUUUUGGUGGGACUUAAAGGCAUCAUAUGAACAAAGGCGAUUAUUAAGAAAGUACUUGAGGUCAAAUGCUUGGUCAUGAUGUCAUGUUGCCUUGAAGAGUCUCAGAGGUUUACUAUGAAAACACACAAAUUCUUUAGAUAUGACCUUUGAUCAGAGACUAACUCAAUCCUAAUCAGAGUCUUAAUGGGUAACAAGUGUAAGCUUAAAAGCAAAGUUAGAUGUUCAUGUAUUGUAUAAUUCAGUAAAUCGUGUGAAUUUGUAUGUUCAAACAAACAUUCUUCACCGUGUAAAGGGUUACAUUUCUUGCUGAUUUUACCCAUUUUGUUCUUUCUUGUGUCUGUUCUCUUCUGUCCGUAACUGCAUGACUAACUGGAUGGGGCAGGUUGCUGUGGCGAGGUGCAGUUGUUAUGUAAACUCUUGGCGAGGUGGUUACCAGGACACCUAGUUUUAUGUAAGGGGUUAGAGGCCCGGACAGAGAGGCCAGAGAGAGAUUGAUGGAUUAAUUAUGCUCACUUUACUGAAGUGCUUGGAUGCUAAUGAAAUUGAUGAUCCACAAUGUUGAUUAAAGGCAUGGGCCGAUUACUGGUUUCAAGGUAUACCGCGAUUUGAAAAUUUCACAGUUUCAAAACCACUAAUAUCUUCCAUUAUACCGUUCCUGUGGUAUGCACUGUUUUCCAUGUCUCCUCAGAGACUGAAAGAGUAGGAAUCCCUCGGGCUGAGUGCAGUGUAGAGAGUAACAUUGACCCCUCCUCUUCCUGUUGGUGUGAACACAUGCGCAGUACCACGGGGUGCAAGGCUGUCCGCGAGCCCUCUUGAUGACGAAAAUAAUGUAAUGCCAACGGUUUACGUGAUCGGCAACUGGCCGUUUUUUGCACAAACUGCGCUGCAAUGCAAUCAUUUUCCAAAAUGUAAUUUAUGUGAAAAUAUGAAGUCUGUUAACGCCCGGUAACACAGGCCAGAGACGCUGAAGACGGACGCACAGAGAAAAAUACUGUAGCAGGCAGAUCACUCACUGUUUAUGAUCCACAAACUAUUGGAAGAAGAUCCUCAAUAUUGAUUUGGGGGUUAAUAUGAAUGUGUUUCUGAGGGGAGCUGACUGUCUUCUGAAAAGUUUACGUGGUAUUUUCUUUUCAUUUAAUCUCUGUAUAGUUCAUAUUAAAGCAGUGUUUCAGAGUAACCAAGGAAACGCUGUAUCUGGUCUGUAUCUGGUGUUCCAGAGGCGCCUCCUGCUGUCAGAGAGUGAAUAUGCGUCUCAUUCAGAGCUUCUGCUGUUUGUUUCGUUCAGACCUGUAGUAUAAA
rnacentral:lncRNA from 1 species